GUGAUUCUGCAGUCGACGAUUCCUACGGGAGGCAGCAGUGGGGAAUCUUAGACAAUGGGGGAAACCCUGAUCUAGCCAUGCCGCGUGAGUGAUGAAGGCCUUAGGGUCGUAAAGCUCUUUCGCCAGGGAUGAUAAUGACAGUACCUGGUAAAGAAACCCCGGCUAACUCCGUGCCAGCAGCCGCGGUAAUACGGAGGGGGUUAGCGUUGUUCGGAAUUACUGGGCGUAAAGCGCGCGUAGGCGGAUUAGUCAGUCAGAGGUGAAAUCCCAGGGCUCAACCCUGGAACUGCCUUUGAUACUGCUAGUCUAGAGUUCGAGAGAGGUGAGUGGAAUUCCGAGUGUAGAGGUGAAAUUCGUAGAUAUUCGGAGGAACACCAGUGGCGAAGGCGGCUCACUGGCUCGAUACUGACGCUGAGGUGCGAAAGUGUGGGGAGCAAACAGGAUUAGAUACCCUGGUAGUCCACACCGUAAACGAUGAAUGCCAGUCGUCGGCAAGUAUACUUGUCGGUGACACACCUAACGGAUUAAGCAUUCCGCCUGGGGAGUACGGUCGCAAGAUUAAAACUCAAAUGAAUUGACGG
rnacentral:rRNA from 1 species